AACGCACAUUGCGCCCGCCAGCACUCUGGCGGGCAUGCCUGUUCGAGCGUCAUUUCAACCCUCGAGCCCCCCCCGGGGGCCCGGCGUUGGGGGCCGGCCCCGGCCGCCCCCGAAAUGCAGUGGCGACCUCGCCGCAGCCUCCCCUGCGUAGUAGCACACACCUCGCACCGGAGCGCGGAGACGGUCACGCCGUAAAACGCACCAGCUUUCAAGAGUUGACCUCGGAUCAGGUAGGAAUACCCGCUGAACUUAA
rnacentral:misc_RNA from 1 species